UACGGGGGGGGCAAGCGUUGUUCGGAAUUACUGGGCGUAAAGGGUUCGUAGGUGGCCAACUAAGUCAGACGUGAAAUCCCUCAGCUUAACUGGGGAACUGCGUCUGAUACUGGUUGGCUUGAGUGCAGGAGAGGAACGCGGAAUUCCAGGUGUAGCGGUGAAAUGCGUAGAUAUCUGGAGGAACACCGGUGGCGAAGGCGGCAUCCUGGACCAACACUGACGCUGAGGAGCGAAAGCCAGGGGAGCAAACGGG
rnacentral:rRNA from 1 species